ACUGUGCAGCCCCACUGGGUGUUUAUUCACCAACAUUUAACCAAACAAAACAAACUCUGCUCAUUUUGGCCUAGGGUCUCAGCAGCAACAACUCAAUAUGGCCAACAUGCAGCCUUUUAUAGCUGUUGGCUGUUCCAAUACACAAACCCACCAAGAAACAGGGUAAAACAAAAUACAUACACACAAACAAGGUUUGACAAACUACCAAAAAUCCUCAAAAUAUAUAUUGCCAAUGCUAGUCAUUUUCAGCAUCUCUACAAACACAUCUUUAUCAAUAUAAAUACAAAUCCAACAUUAAGUUUAUAAAAUGUCUAACUCUCUGCUCCCCCCCUUCCGUCUGCUUUGGUCUCUUCCGGAACCUUUAAAAGGUACUCAGGCCCCCGGGGAAUCUUUUAGCCUGAACACCCUGCAGAGGAAGAGAGAGGACAUAAUCAGUUCCAGCUGAGAUGCCACCGAAACCACCAUUAAUAAACCAUUUCAAUCA